AUUGAACGCUGGCGGCAUGCCUUACACAUGCAAGUCGAACGGUAACAGGUCUUCGGAUGCUGACGAGUGGCGAACGGGUGAGUAAUACAUCGGAACGUGCCCGAUCGUGGGGGAUAACGCAGCGAAAGCUGUGCUAAUACCGCAUACGAUCUACGGAUGAAAGCGGGGGAUCGCAAGACCUCGCGCGGACGGAGCGGCCGAUGGCAGAUUAGGUAGUUGGUGGGGUAAAGGCUCACCAAGCCUGCGAUCUGUAGCUGGUCUGAGAGGACGACCAGCCACACUGGGACUGAGACACGGCCCAGACUCCUACGGGAGGCAGCAGUGGGGAAUUUUGGACAAUGGGCGCAAGCCUGAUCCAGCCAUGCCGCGUGCAGGAUGAAGGCCUUCGGGUUGUAAACUGCUUUUGUACGGAACGAAAAGGUUCUUUCUAAUAAAGAGAGCCCUUGACGGUACCUAACCAGAAAGCCACGGCUAACUACGUGCCAGCCGCCGCGUAA
rnacentral:rRNA from 1 species